AGCCGCUCUCCCUGGAGCCUGCGGAGCUGCCCGGCCCCGGGGGCCGUGCUGAGGACCCACCUUGGCAGGGUUGAGGGCGGUGAUGACCCACACGCAGUAGGCGUUGUUGUCGUACUGCACGGGGUAGUUGGGGGACGUGAUGACCCCGCUGGGCCCGCGCAGAUCCAAUCCCUAAAAAACACUGCACAGCGAGGAUUUAUUAGGUCAUUAUUAAGUAUUUAUCAGCUGGUUUCCUUCUGUGGGCUCAGAACUAAGGUGGAAACUCAGCUCUGCAUCUUCAAAACAUCUCAGGAGAUGUAUUUGCAUGUGUGGAGACUGCAAGAUUUUUUUUUUUUCUCUGUAAAACAAUGGAGAAAUCAUCUCCUGGCCGAGCUGUGGGAACAUUGGGAAUGGCUGGGAAGCAGCUUUGGAAUGAGCUGAGGUCACUUAUCCAGGAUGCUGAACCACUCCUGCCUCAUCCUGGAGCUCCCAGAGUGUUAAAAAAAAAGGAGAAGGAGGAGAGGGGAGAAAACGCCUGGAAUAGGGAGAGGGAUGAUCCUGCUCAGGUGAUGCUCUUGGAGCCCUGCAGGUCGUAGCCCUCGUUGCAGGAGAACUGGAUGCUGGAGCCCAGCCUGGAGAGGGGACAGAGGGGACAUCAGCCUGGUCCUGCCUCCUGCAUCCCAGCAUUUGGGGCCAGAGCCAUCCCCUGGCCCUGCAGCAGCAGGAAGGGAGGAGGGACCAGCUCUGCCUCCCCCUCUGCCCCAGGUGCUGAUGUCCAAAUCCCAGUUUUUAGUACCAGUUCAGUGGGAAUUUCAUCCGCAGCCCCGGGAGAGGACACGCUCAGCGUGCCCCAUGAAGUGAAAUA